GAUGAACGCUGGCGGCGUGCCUAAUACAUGCAAGUCGAGCGAACAGACGAGGAGCUUGCUCCUCUGACGUUAGCGGCGGACGGGUGAGUAACACGUGGAUAACCUACCUAUAAGACUGGGAUAACUUCGGGAAACCGGAGCCAAUACCGGAUAAUAUAUUGAACCGCAUGGUUCAAUAGUGAAAGACGGUUUUGCUGUCACUUAUAGAUGGAUCCGCGCCGCAUUAGCUAGUUGGUAAGGUAACGGCUUACCAAGGCAACGAUGCGUAGCCGACCUGAGAGGGUGAUCGGCCACACUGGAACUGAGACACGGUCCAGACUCCUACGGGAGGCAGCAGUAGGGAAUCUUCCGCAAAGGGCGAAAGCCUGACGGAGCAACGCCGCGUGAGUGAUGAAGGUCUUCGGAUCGUAAAACUCUGUUAUUAGGGAAGAACAAAUGUGUAAGUAACUAUGCACGUCUUGACGGUACCUAAUCAGAAAGCCACGGCUAACUACGUG
rnacentral:rRNA from 1 species